CCUCCGUGCGUGUGGCGG
rnacentral:snRNA from 1 species